rnacentral:rRNA from 1 species
UACGGGGGGGGCAAGCGUUGUUCGGAAUUACUGGGCGUAAAGGGUUCGUAGGUGGCCGACUCCGUCAGACGUGAAAUCCCUCAGCUUAACUGGGGAACUGCGUCUGAGACCGGUCGGCUCGAGUGCAGGAGAGGAACGCGGAAUUCCAGGUGUAGCGGUGAAAUGCGUAGAUAUCUGGAGGAACACCGGUGGCGAAGGCGGCGUUCUGGACUGCAACUGACACUGAGGAACGAAAGCCAGGGGAGCAAAC